UACGAAGGGGGCUAGCGUUGCUCGGAAUCACUGGGCGUAAAGCGCACGUAGGCGGAUCUUUAAGUCAGGGGUGAAAUCCCAAGGCUCAACCUUGGAACUGCCUUUGAUACUGGGGAUCUCGAGUCCGGAAGAGGUGAGUGGAACUGCGAGUGUAGAGGUGAAAUUCGUAGAUAUUCGCAAGAACACCAGUGGCGAAGGCGGCUCUCUGGACCGAGACUGACGCUGAGGCGCGAAAGCGUGGGGAGCAAACAGG
rnacentral:rRNA from 1 species